CCAGUGCCAUCUCUCUCUUAUACAACCACAGUAAUUAAUUAAUUAGUCUUAAUUAAUUAACUAAUUAAUUAUAUAGCAGAUUCACUUUAUCUUAUCAACCUGGUGGACACACCUGGACAUAUCGAUUUUUCAUUUGAAGUAGCGGCGGGAAUACGGGUGUGUGAUGGCGCCAUAAUCCUCAUUGAUGUGGUGGAGGGAGUCUGUUCACAGGUAGGGGAGGUCUCUCAGUCUAGACGUACUCAGUCAUACGACUAGCCUUGACUGAGGGACUCAAAAUAGUCAUUUUUCUUAACAAAAUGGACAAACUGUACACCCAUCUCAAUCUAACUGUACAACAAUCAUUUAUACAUUUGAAAAAAAUAGUCGAACAAGUAAAUUCAAUCAUCGCCCAGUACUUUAUAUCUGAGCAAUUCCAACAUGAUCAAAGUACUUCAAAGAAUGCCGCCGAUUAUGUUUCGCCUGAAGCGGGGAAUGUGAUCUUCGGCAGCUCGACGGACGGUUGGGCCUUUACGUAAUACAUAUAUAUAAUCCAAGUAUUCCCCAAUUCGCUGAAAUGUUUUCCAAAAAGAUAAAAGACCGAACCGCCUUUGAUGUUGCCGCCCAUAUGUGGGGAAAUUAUUUUUGGAGUUCAAAAACAUCAAAAUUCGAGGAAUGUACAGGAAGCCACAAACUGACAAUUUUUGAGAGUUUUGUUCUCAGUAAUAUUUGGACGGUUUAUGAAGCUGCACAUAAUAAGUAUUGCCACGUGAGUUACUUUCAAAGGGAUUCUGAACGGUUCAGUCGAAUUGCAAGAAGAGUGGUAAUGUCUGAUAAAGUUAACUUUGUGGGGACCUUUGACGUGUCUCUACUAAUGUCGAAUUGGCUGCCUCUUUAUAAAUCUGUGUUCGGUUCUUUGUGGUUUGGGUGUUUUAGAUGUUGUUGUUGAGUUUUUGCCUUCGCCCUUGGAUUUGGACUGUCGUAGGGUUAGUAGGCUAUUGGGAGGAAGAGAGGUGUCUGGUGAUGUGAUGGAUGGUGUAUUGUUUUAUUCAAUGUGUAGAAUUGACUAAUAUUACUCCUAAUGGGAAUAGUUUGGUUGCUUUUAUGAGCAAACUAGUUUUCGUCCCACUAAACGAACUCCCACGAAAAUAUCAAAUAUUGGUUAACCAAACGGAAUCAAAUAUUGUUGAGUUUUGUAUUGGUUUUACGCGGUCAUUUUGUGGGACAAUUCGAAAGGGGGACUCUCUGUUUAUUUUGGGACCAAAACAUGACAGUCGACUGGUU